CUAUAGAAUUUUAUAUUAACUUUACCUAGCGGUUAAUGCUGGUUUUUUGUUAAUAUUUGGUUGGGAGGAUUAUUAAAUUUAACAAACUUUAUAUCAUUAUAAACUUUGAUUUAAGAAAAUAUAAUGACCUUCAAUUUGAAAUAGUUAGAGUAAAUUACCUUAGGGAUAACAGCGUAAUAUUUUUUUAUAGACCUUAUAGAAAAAAAUGGUUGCGACCUCGAUGUUGAAUUAAGAUAAAUUUUAAAUGCAGGAGUUUAAUAAUUAAGUCUGUU
rnacentral:rRNA from 1 species